GAUGAACGCUGGCGGCGUGCCUAAUACAUGCAAGUCGAGCGAACGGACGAGGAGCUUGCUCCUCUGAUGUUAGCGGCGGACGGGUGAGUAACACGUGGAUAACCUACCUAUAAGACUGGGAUAACUUCGGGAAACCGGAGCUAAUACCGGAUAAUAUUUUGAACCGCAUGGUUCAAUAGUGAAAGACGGUUUUGCUGUCACUUAUAGAUGGAUCCGCGCCGCAUUAGCUAGUUGGUAAGGUAACGGCUUACCAAGGCAACGAUGCAUAGCCGACCUGAGAGGGUGAUCGGCCACACUGGAACUGAGACACGGUCCAGACUCCUACGGGAGGCAGCAGUAGGGAAUCUUCCGCAAUGGGCGAAAGCCUGACGGAGCAACGCCGCGUGAGUGAUGAAGGUCUUCGGAUCGUAAAACUCUGUUAUUAGGGAAGAACAUAUGUGUAAGUAACUGUGCACGUCUUGACGGUACCUAAUCAGAAAGCCACGGCUAACUACGUG
rnacentral:rRNA from 1 species